AUUGAACGCUGGCGGCAGGCCUAACACAUGCAAGUCGAGCGAGCGGCGGACGGGUGAGUAAUGUCUGGGAAACUGCCUGAUGGAGGGGGAUAACUACUGGAAACGGUAGCUAAUACCGCAUACCAUCAGAUGUGCCCAGAUGGGAGUAGCUAGUAGUUGGGGUAACGGCUCACCUAGGCGACGAUCCCUAGCGGGUCUGAGAGGAUGACCAGCCACACUGGAACUGAGACACGGUCCAGCCUCCUACGGAAGGCAGCAUUGGGGAAGAUUGCACAAUGGGCGCAAGCCUGAUGAGGCCAUGCCGCGUGUGUGAAGAAGGCCUUCGGGUUGUAAAGCACUUUCAGCGGGGAGGCGUUACCCGCAGAGGAAGCACCGGCUAACUCCGUGCCAGCCGCCGCGGUAAUAC
rnacentral:rRNA from 1 species